rnacentral:rRNA from 1 species
CCCUUAGAUGUUCUGGGCCGCACGCGCGCUACACUGAUUCAUGCAACAAGUUUUGUCCUUGGCUGAUAGGCCUGGGUAAUCUUUGAACGCUGUUCGUGAUUGGGAUAGACCUUUGCAAUUAUGGGUCUUCAACGAGGAAUUCCUAGUAAACGCAAGUCAUCAGCUUGCAUUGAUUACGUCCCUGCCCUUUGUACACACCGCCCGUCGCACCUACCGAUUGAAUGGUCCGGUGAAAUCUCGGGACGGCGGCUUGGUCGCUUGCGUCCGACUGCUGAAACUUGAUUAAACCAUAUCAUUUAGAGGAAGGUGAANUCGUAACA